rnacentral:tRNA from 1 species
GCGUCCUUAGCACAAUGGUAGGGCAUCUGUCUUCGAAACAGUUGAUAUUGGUUCGAUUCCAGUAGGGCGUU